UAUCAAAAUUAAGAUCUAAUGUUAAUAUUAAUUUCUUUAGAAGCAUCUAAAAAUAUUGUAAAGGAGAUUGAUAUUUUAUUUAUGUGAAUCCAAAAAGUACUGUAAAGGAAACUUUCAUUUAUAUAAAAGUAGCGUUAGUAGCGCGUACCUUUUGUAUCAUGGCUUAGCUAGAAUAAACUUUAAUAAAUAAAUUUCUCGAAAUCUAAUGAGCUACUCUUUAUUUGAUAUCAUAGUAUCUAAAGACUAGUUGUUGCAAAAACUUUCUUAAAAGUAAGAGUAGAAAUGAAAUUUUAUCCGUAUUAGAUGAUAGCUAGUUUUCUACCAAGAGAUAUAGAAGUAUCGAAAUUCGAAAAAUUAAAUUGAAAAAUUAAUUCAAAUUACUUAAGUGCGAAUUGAACAGACUACUGGGGAUAAGCUCAGUGGUAAAAAAUAAAACAAAACAUAAAUAACUUUAUUGAAAUUUAAGCUUGAAAUUAGCUAAAAUUCUGAAAUGUGUUAUAAUUUAUUUAAAAUUUAAAGACAAAAUAACUAUGUGUAAUAUUAUUAGGAGAAAAUUAUCCAUAAUUAUAUAGGAUAAAUAUCAAUGCUAAGAUUAGUAUUUUUAUAUUAUUAUAUCUUAAAUAAAUAAAAUUUAAGAUAAAAUACUUAAUUUAAAGAUUAAAUCUCAUAAAGGAACUCGGCAAAUAAUUUACUCCGCCUGUUUAUCAAAAACAUGGCUCCUUGAUCUUAAUAUAUAAGGAGUCGGACCUGCCCGGUGAUAAUAAUUUAACGGCCGCGGUACCCUGACCGUGCAAAGGUAGCAUAAUCAUUUGCCCUAUAAUUGAGGGCUAGUAUGAACGGUUUGACGAGAGUAAAGCUGUCUCUAUGAGACUAAAUAGAAUUUAUUUUUUAGGUGAAGAAUCCUAAAUAAAAUUAAAAGACAAGAAGACCCUAUCGAGCUUUAAAUAAAUUUAUAAAAUAAAAAAAAUUUAUUAAUAUUUUAAGUUAUAAAAAAUUUUGGUUGGGGCGACUAAGGAACAAAAAAAACUUCUUAAUAAUUUCAAGACUUAUGAGUAAUGAUCCAUUAUUAUUAAUGAUUAAAAGAAUUAGUUACCGUAGGGAUAACAGCAUAAUCCAUUUUGAGAGUUCAUAUCGAAAAAAGGGUUUGUGACCUCGAUGUUGGACUAGAAUAUCCUGUAAGAUGCAGAAGUCUUCAAGGGUUGGUCUGUUCGACCAUUAAAAUUCUACAUGAUCUGAGUUCAGACCGGCGUGAGCCAGGUCAGUUUCUAUCUUUAAUUUAUCUUUAGAUUUAGUACGAAAGGACCAAUCUAAAAUAAAAAUUAUUAAUUUAGAUAACUUAUAAUAAUAACAUAAAUAUU
rnacentral:rRNA from 1 species